rnacentral:tRNA from 1 species
GGAGACGAAGUAUAUUAGUAUACUUUUUUUACACAAAAGUGGACCUCCAUGAGGCGUUUCUAC